rnacentral:rRNA from 1 species
AACGAACGCUGGCGGCAGGCUUAACACAUGCAAGUCGAGCGCCCCGCAAGGGGAGCGGCAGACGGGUGAGUAACGCGUGGGAAGCUACCCAUCACUACGGAACAACUCCGGGAAACUGGAGCUAAUACCGUAUACGUCCUUCGGGAUAAAGCUUUAUCGGUGAUGGAUGAGCGCGCGUUGGGCUAGCUAGUUGGUGGGGACAUGGCAUACCAAGGCGCCGCUCAAUAGAUGGGAUGAGAGUAUGAUACGCCACACUGGGACUGAGACACGGUCCAGACUCAUACGGGAGGCAGCAGUGGGGAAUAUUGGACAAUGGGCGAAAGUCUGAUCCAGCCAGGCCGCGUGAGUGAUGAAGGCCCUAGGGUUGUAAAGCUCUUUCAACGGUGAAGAUAAUGACGGUAACCGUAGAAGAAGCCCCGGCUAACUUCGUGCCAGCAGCCGCCGUAAUAC